CGCUCCUAAGCGCCUUGAAGGUCGCAAAGUCGCGGCGGUGACCUGUUUCGAUUCAUUCGGAAAGUUGGCGAUGACGCUCCUCGCUG
rnacentral:tRNA from 1 species